GAAAAAGUGCACUGAAAUUAAACAAUAAGUAUUCAUAUUAAAUGGAUUGCAUUUGAAACUUCAUAUGCUGAUAACAUUUUUUUUUUCUGUACUUUCAGGUGGCCCAUUCUGAGUGUGGACUGCCAAACAAAGUUGUGUAUCUGUCCCUCAACAGUAAUCUUACCUGCUUUGUAUUCUACUGUUAUCAUUCACAUCUUCAGAUAUUCCAAUUUUUCCUCAUUUUUAUUCUAAAGCCAUUGGACUACAGGGUUUCCAACUUUGGUGCUUUCUGUUCCAGUUAAAAUUAAUGUUCAAGAACUACCAAAUUUUCACAAGAGAUUCUUUAUUAUUUAUUCACAUGGGUUGAGUACCAUUUUUUAGAGGUCCAUGUAGCCUGAAAGAUAAGUGAGUGGGAUGUUUUUAUCUAAUCAUGCUUUUUUAUGCUCUUCUAUUAAAGUAAAGAGAACAUUCCUUUAUAAUAUUAUUAUGAUUAUUAUGAUUAUUAUCAAGAGAUGUGUACCCAUUAUGCCGCUAAUAACAAUCUAUUAUCAGUACUAAAAUAACAUAUUGCCAUAUUUCAAAUUAAUACUUUAAAUAGAUAUAAGUGAAUAUUCCAUACUAAACUGAGAUUAAUCUGUAGGGCACACUGGCACACACCUAUAAUCCCAGGUAUUCAAGAGGCUGAGGCAGGAGAAUCAUAAGUUCAAGGCCGGCCUAGACAACUUAGCAAGAUCCUGUCUCAGUAAUAAUAAUAUUAAUAAUAAAGAGGAUUAGGAAUGUGGUUCAGUGGUAGAGCACCCCUGGGUUCAAUCCCCAGUACUGUAAAAAAUAAAUAAAUAAAAAUAGGUUAAUUCAUGCUGAUUAGCAAAAUUAUUUUGGGUACAACUUAAGAAUUCUGCUCCUUCUUUAGUUUCCAGGAAAAUCCAAGCCUAUCUCACUUACAUCCCACUUGAGAGCUUAUCUAAUUGGAAAAUAUUUCCCCUCUUGGUAAAGUUGUAUCCAUUAUGAGGC
rnacentral:lncRNA from 1 species